rnacentral:rRNA from 1 species
UACGAAGGGGGCUAGCGUUGUUCGGAAUUACUGGGCGUAAAGCGCACGUAGGCGGAUUUGUUAGUCAGGGGUGAAAUCCCGGGGCUCAACCUCGGAACUGCCUUUGAUACUGCAAAUCUCGAGUCCGGAAGAGGCGAGUGGAAGUCCUAGUGUAGAGGUGAAAUUCGUAGAUAUUAGGAAGAACACCAGUGGCGAAGGCGGCUCACUGGUCCGGUACUGACGCUGAGGUGCGAAAGCGUGGGGAGCAAACAGG